GAUGAACGCUGGCGGCGUGCCUAACACAUGCAUGUCGAACGAAAAUCUACGGAUAGAGGAUUCGUCCAAUCGAAGUAGAGGAAAGUGGCGGACGGGUGAGUAACGCGUGAGGAACCUGCCUAGGAGUGGGGAAUAACAGUCCGAAAGGACUGCUAAUACCGCAUAAUGCAUUUGGGUCGCAUGGCCCUGACUGCACAAGAUUUAGCGCUCUUAGAUGGCCUCGCGUCUGAUUAGCUAGUUGGUAGGGUAACGGCCUACCAAGGCGACGAUCAGUAGCCGGACUGAGAGGUUGGCCGGCCACAUUGGGACUGAGACACGGCCCAGACUCCUACGGGGGGCAGCAGUGGGGAAUAUUGGGCAAUGGGCGCAAGCCUGACCCAGCAACGCCGCGUGAAGGAAGAAGGCUUUCGGGUUGUAAACUUCUUUUAUCAGGGACGAAACAAAUGACGGUACCUGAUGAAUAAGCCACGGCUAACUACGUGCCAGCCGCCGCAGUAAAAC
rnacentral:rRNA from 1 species